rnacentral:lncRNA from 1 species
UGUCGUUGAACAUCCACUCGAUCCACUCAAAUUUCUCGCUCGCGUCUCUCAUGACGGCGAGCAUGUCACGGUACUGUUUAUGGGCCAGGAGCUGGCAUGCGUAAAAGUAAAGAGGUGUGCGCCGUUGGAGCCGGCCUGUCGCUAGCAACUCUUCGACACAAUUCGCGCCAGCGCUUUCAUUUGAAGCCAUCAUCGAAUGAAUCUUCCCCGCCACUUUCUCCGCCGCACUGGUGGCACGGUCUACUGAGAAGGACAGUUCACGAGCAGACAUCUUUUUUU